rnacentral:lncRNA from 1 species
CAUCACUGUCCUGUAUAGAGAGUAGUGUCUACUACUGCAAUCGAAAUAUAGUUGCAUGAUUAUGUCCCAAUCAGUUAAAAAAGAUUUUGUCCUCUCAAACUAAUGGGCUCUCUUGUUCUCUCUCUUUGGCUGGUAUAGUGAUAGCGAUACCCAUUUAUUGCAAUCAAGGAGAUAUGCAGUAACUUUAAAGUGAGAACAUAAUGCUCUUUCUUGGUUCACAAUUGGUCUAACCCCCUUUGUUUUUUUGCUUGUCUUAUUAUGUUCAGAUUGUAUAGCCAAUCAUAUGUUGAUGCUGGAUAGCUUGAUAGAUCAUCUAAAUAUCUACACAGAUACAUCAUCGAAGAUAAUAGAAAGGUAAGAUGACACUGCAUGACAUAGAUGUAUUGGCCAUACACCGUGAACAACAGAAGCUGUGCAUCUGAUAUUGUCCUGUAGUAUAUCUUUUGCUUCCAGAGCAGGCACUUUUGCAUCUAUUUUUCUAGCUGCCUUUUAGUUGCGCCAUUCAUUGAUGUUGUGAUGGAUAAUGACUAUGGAUUUGCCAAGCCAUGCAUUGGUUGCAUUUGUUAUGGCCACAGCAGUACAACAAGUAUUGGUUCAAUUUUUAUGCAAAAUUUGAUUGUGAGUGUGCUGUUUGAUGAUGCUUGCCUCAUCAAUUGUUCAUGUCUUGUGUGAAAUUUGUACCCUAUUAGAAGAUGCCACCAUCAAGUUAAUAAUAACACUAAUGAUCAUUUGAUUCUAGUCUAGAGAUACAACAACAUUAGUUAGAUCCAUUGACGGAUGGAUGAACACACACAACUAGCAGCUUAGCAGUGUUAGCAACCACAAAAAUUAGCCUUGUGAUUCAUUAUGUUGAGGCAAACAUGCUCUAUUCAUUUUGGAUCCCAUCCAUUUACGUGCUAAUAAGCUAGCUCAAGCACAAGCACAUGCUCUAUUCUGUGUGUGCUAAUAAGCUAGCUCAAGCACAAGCACAUGCUCUAUUAUGCUAUAGUAGCAGUACAUAUGUGUCUCCUAUACUAGAUUAAUUUCUAGUAUGUCCUGCAUCACAAAUGGAUCAAGUUCCAGUUUUAGUUUUGUUGUUAUUAACCUCUACAAUCCUGUUAGCAUACUUAACGAGUAUCUGAAACUAGAUGUUUUCUUGCUCAUAGUAAUUAAAAACAACGGCCAGUUUCUCGUCACCCACUAUUAUUGUCACUUCAUGUCUUGAUCUGUUGUGUCAGGCUGCUGUAGGUGCUGAACUGUGAUCAUUGCAAGGAGGAACCACUGUUUGGCUUCAGUCCUUCCUCAUUUGAUCAUUUUAUAU